rnacentral:rRNA from 1 species
AUGGACGCCGUCCGCUCUUUCCUCCUCGGCGGCGGCCUCACCGUCUCCACCGCCACCGGCGCCACAGCCCAGGCCAACUCUAUCCCACACAUCUCCCCUUCUUCUCUCCCUUGGGCCACUCGCCGCCGCUUCCACCGCCUCGCCGCGGCCGCGUCACCUCACUCGCCGCUCCCCGCUUCCUCGACCCGCCCGCGUUGCUCUAGGUGGGUGGUGGUCAUGGACGACCCGCCCGCGCAAGCGGGCGUCGGCGAGGUGUCCCGUGCGGAGGCCGUCGACUACUACGUCGCCACACUGGCCAGAGUGUUGGGAAGUGAGCAGGAGGCGCAAAUGUGCAUAUAUGACGCGUCGUGGGACAGGAGCUACGAAUUCUGCUGCGAGAUCGAUGAGGAAGCGUCCAAGAAGCUUGCAAAGAUGCCUGGGGUAUUAGCUGUUAGGAUGGUUAAGGGUGAUGUGCCAGAGAAGGAUAAUCUGAGGUCGAGCCUCUCACCAGUUAACCUUGGAAGCUUCAGUGAUGCUGCUUGUAACAACUCUUCUAGCGAGAAAAGUGAGUUUUGGCUUGUCCGAAUGGAGAAGCCCGGGGUUGAAGUUGUGACAAAAGCACAAAUGGUAGACCACUAUACCCAGAUCCUGGUGAAAGUAUUGGGGAAUGAAAAGGAUGCACAAGUUAGCAUAUAUCACGUUUCAUGGGAAGAGAAUUAUGGAUUCUGCUGUCAUAUUGACGAACAAUGUGCGAAGGAGCUAGCUGAUGUUCCUGGAGUCAUAUCUGUUUUACCAGAUUCAAAUUUUGGAUCAGACAAAAAAGAUUACAGAGGUGACGAUAGCUCGAAAUCCUCAGAAGCUACUCAGGUGGCUGAUGUCAAAACUAAAAGGCUCUUUGUUACAGGGCUUUCAUUUUAUACAUCUGAGAAAACUCUGAGGGAAGCCUUUGAGCCAUUUGGCGAGCUGGUUGAAGUCAAGAUAAUAAUGGACAGGAUAUCAAGAAGAUCAAAAGGGUAUGCCUUCAUAGAAUACACCACAGAAGAAGCUGGUGGUGCAGCUCUGAAAGCAAUGAAUGGAGAGAUAAUAAACGGCUGGAUGAUAGUUGUUGACAUUGCUAAAACCAAAUCAAGAGACCAGAAAACCCCAUUUGGCACUUCUAGUUUUCGGCCACGUUUUCAAUCUAGAUGA